CAGUCGCCGCGGUAAUACGUAGGUGGCAAGCGUUGUCCGGAAUUAUUGGGCGUAAAGGGCUCGCAGGCGGUUUCUUAAGUCUGAUGUGAAAGCCCCCGGCUCAACCGGGGAGGGUCAUUGGAAACUGGGAAACUUGAGUGCAGAAGAAGAGAGUGGAAUUCCACGUGUAGCGGUGAAAUGCGUAGAGAUGUGGAGGAACACCAGUGGCGAAGGCGACUCUCUGGUCUGUAACUGACGCUGAGGAGCGAAAGCGUGGGGAGCGGACAGGAUUAGAUACCCCCGUAGUCCCUGUCUCUUAUAA
rnacentral:rRNA from 1 species